rnacentral:rRNA from 1 species
GACGAACGCUGGCGGCGUGCUUAACACAUGCAAGUCGAACGGAAAGGCCCUGCUUUUGUGGGGUGCUCGAGUGGCGAACGGGUGAGUAACACGUGAGUAACCUGCCCUUGACUUUGGGAUAACUUCAGGAAACUGGGGCUAAUACCGGAUAGGAGCUCCUGCUGCAUGGUGGGGGUUGGAAAGUUUCGGCGGUUGGGGAUGGACUCGCGGCUUAUCAGCUUGUUGGUGGGGUAGUGGCUUACCAAGGCUUUGGCGGGUAGCCGGCCUGAAAGGGUGACCGGCAACAUUGGGACUGAGAUACGGCCCAGACUCCUACGGGAGGCAGCAGUGGGGAAUAUUGCACAAUGGGCGGAAGCCUGAUGCAGAAACGCCGCGUGCGGGAUGACGGCCUUCGGGUUGUAAACCGCUUUCGCCUGUGACGAAGCGUGAGUGACGGUAAUGGGUAAAGAAGCACCGGCUAACUACGUG